rnacentral:rRNA from 1 species
GGUUAAGCGACUAAGCGUACACGGUGGAUGCCCUGGCAGUCAGAGGCGAUGAAGGACGUGCUAAUCUGCGAUAAGCGUCGGUAAGGUGAUAUGAACCGUUAUAACCGGCGAUUUCCGAAUGGGGAAACCCAGUGUGUUUCGACACACUAUCAUUAACUGAAUCCAUAGGUUAAUGAGGCGAACCGGGGGAACUGAAACAUCUAAGUACCCCGAGGAAAAGAAAUCAACCGAGAUUCCCCCAGUAGCGGCGAGCGAACGGGGAGCAGCCCAGAGCCUGAAUCAGUGUGUGUGUUAGUGGAAGCGUCUGGAAAGGCGCGCGAUACAGGGUGACAGCCCCGUACACAAAAAUGCACAUAUUGUGAGCUCGAUGAGUAGGGCGGGACACGUGGUAUCCUGUCUGAAUAUGGGGGGACCAUCCUCCAAGGCUAAAUACUCCUGACUGACCGAUAGUGAACCAGUACCGUGAGGGAAAGGCGAAAAGAACCCCGGCGAGGGGAGUGAAAAAGAACCUGAAACCGUGUACGUACAAGCAGUGGGAGCCUCUUUUAUGGGGUGACUGCGUACCUUUUGUAUAAUGGGUCAGCGACUUAUAUUCUGUAGCAAGGUUAACCGAAUAGGGGAGCCGAAGGGAAACCGAGUCUUAACUGGGCGUUAAGUUGCAGGGUAUAGACCCGAAACCCGGUGAUCUAGCCAUGGGCAGGUUGAAGGUUGGGUAACACUAACUGGAGGACCGAACCGACUAA